rnacentral:rRNA from 1 species
GUGAGGAAUAUUGGUCAAUGGUCGCAAGACUGAACCAGCCAUGCCGCGUGCAGGAUGAAGCAUCUAUGGUGUGUAAACUGCUUUUGUACGGGAAGAAACACUCCCUCGUGAGGGAGCUUGACGGUACCGUAAGAAUAAGGAUCGGCUAACUCCGUGCCAGCAGCCGCGGUAAUACGGAGGAUCCAAGCGUUAUCCGGAAUCAUUGGGUUUAAAGGGUCCGUAGGCGGUUUAAUAAGUCAGUGGUGAAAGCCCAUCGCUCAACGAUGGAACGGCCAUUGAUACUGUUAGACUUGAAUUACAAGGAAGUAACUAGAAUAUGUAGUGUAGCGGUGAAAUGCUUAGAUAUUACAUGGAAUACCAAUUGCGAAGGCAGGUUACUACUUGUGGAUUGACGCUGAUGGACGAAAGCGUGGGGAGCGAACAGGAUUAGAUACCCGGGUAGUCC